GCCCGGAUGAGCCUCGGUGGUCCGGGGUGCGGGCUUCAAACCCGUAGCUGCUUAGCGGCAGAGUGGCUCGAUUCCACCUUUCGGGCG
rnacentral:tRNA from 1 species